rnacentral:lncRNA from 1 species
CUAAAUCCCUGUGACCUAAGAAAAGGCACUGGCAACAACACAGAGGUUUGCCGAAAUAUUUGCAUAUGGUACACACAGCUUCUGUCAAUUCAUGAUGGUGGUCACUGUGUCACGUCCAGAAGACAGCAUCUGUUUGCAGUGACAGCAGUCAAUUCGAAGAUGCAAGAUUGGUCAGAGUACCAAGAGUAAGGGACUAUGUGCGAUUUUCAGAGAGGUGGUGAGAUGCAGUUUGGUUCCUGCCUCCAGAUUCCUGCCCUGACUUCCCUAGAUGAUGGACUGCAAGCUGUACAAAGAAGUAGACUUUCUCCUCUGAAGUUGCUUUUGGCCAUGGUAUUUUAUCACAGCAGUGCAGACCCUGAGAUUUCAGCCUGCAUGGGACCUUCCAGCACUAUGAACAUCAGCCAUCAGAGUGGAAGCUUCCAACUUAGUUCUAGCUUGAUUUAUUUAUAUGCUGCAUCUGCAUCCAAAGUCUGUGGUUUCUUCAGUAACAUAGUCUUACCAUCUAGUUCCGGUGGGUGACCUACCAAUGGCAGUUUUGGGAGCCUGUAAUCAACAACUCAGAAGGAAAUAGCCUACAAGUGGUGUUGAGAUUUUUCUUUCAAAACUCUUGUCGUUUGGGAGCAGUAUUAUCCAUUCAUUUAGGGUACCUUCAUCCACAAAUGUUAGCUCUCUAAUUGGACUUAAGGCCUGCUCAAUAGGAGGGAAACCAUGCCUGGUACUGGUAGCAUAGCCAACUACCCGGUGCCAGUGAACUCAUGGAUCUUGGAGGAGAACUGACAACCAUCACUUUACUAAGCCAUCGUAAUACCUAACUAUACUCUAAAUCCUUAUACUCACAG